CUCCCUUAGACUUUCAACUUCUUUCUCUUUGUCUCCGAGAAGAAAAGAGGUUCAUCGUCUUAUGAUAUCUUCUCUUAUCCUUUAAUAAUCUUCUAAUUUGUCUUUCUAAUAACAACAGGCCAUUCACAAGAUUCCGGUGAAUAAUCCCUAGGCAGGAACGAUGUCAAUCUUGUGCAACAAUGGCAGAAAAAGAGACCAGAGAAGACGAAAAGAGAAAGAAACAACGAUAGAAGAGACUCAUCAAUGUUGUUGUUGUUGCCUAUGGCCUCAAUUUUCAAUGGUUAGAGGAAUAAAGAGAUGUCUCUUCCUCUCAUGUUAUCCAUUUAUUCGCUGUUUAGGGUUGGAAGAGAGAAGGCAUCGUCAUCAUCUUCAUUACCAAAACCAUUUCCUAUGAUAAAUUUGUGUGUAUUCGUAUAUAAGCUUGAGAUUACUAUAAGCAUAUAUAUAUGAAAACAUUUCUUGA